ACCAGCGUUGGUCCAACGGUCCUAACCACAUGCCAAACGUUGGGCUAACGUUGUUGGCAUGUUUACUGGGGCAACGUUAUUCGUACACAAAUGCGGGCGCGUGAUCUGACCUUGGAGCAUAUCCUUGCGCCGACGAAAAGGUGUGCGCACGAAUGCGAGUCCGUGCGCACGUGUCCGCCAAGCCGACUCGUAGCGAGGCACGAGGGCGAGGCACCUACACAUCUCAGGGCAGGGCCCGUCCCAGGGCAGCGACGGUGUCUUGGGACUCGUCUGGGCAUCGCCGGGCUGCUGCUGGGCAACGUGCUCUCACAAGGCACCUACGAAAAGCAGGCAGCGCACCCACGGAGGCAGCUGUGAACAGCACAACAACACGCACCCCGGCACGCACACAUCCCAACGGUGAAUCUGCAGCGAAAUCUAAAAGCGCAUUUAAGCUUUGUGUGCGUCCUGUGACUUCGCUAAUUAAAGAGGUUCGCACCCGCCCGCCCCCACCUCGCCUCGAGGUCGGGGCUAUCAGUAGUUCCUCCACACAAACACAAACGGCCCCGGAGCGUUGAGUAGCCAGAAGGGAACUCCUUACAGCGUCAUUAGCGGCAGCGUCAAUCACCCCCGAGCCGGCCUGCCCAGUCACGCAUGCCAUUUAUUUGUUUGUUUACUCACUCGCCCAUGCGUGUGCACGUGUGUGUAUGUGUGUGUGUAUUGCGUUGCAAGGAGGGUGCACUUAGCAAUGAUUACCGCUCGAGGACCUUUCGGUGGUAGUUCUGUAAUAUCCGCCUCCGUGGGGGCGCGUUUUCUCACGCGAUGGAGCUUGCGCUGACAGCGAUCCGAGAGUGCGAUCGCGAUGGCAUUGCGGUGGGGGGAGGUGUAAUUACAAGAAAUAAAGUAUUUGUGCUAAUUAUGUGAAUAUUAAAAACCAAAUAGGAAUUAUCUCGCCUGGUUUACCGGAGGUCGUGGGUUUCAUCCCGACACUGACACCUGUAUAUUUCCAGUUUGCAUCAUCUCCCCGUGGUCGCGUGGGUUUUUCUCCGGGUCAUCCAGUUCCCCCCCCCCCAUACCCCCCACAUCAAACCAGCUCACUGGGGAGUCAGUCACGUUUGUGUGUUUAUGCGGAGGUUGAAGAGUGAACCAGGGAGGCUUCAGGAAUAAAGUUUCAAGUUUAUUUUUUGUUUAACCAGGUGCCAACUCAAUGGACCAGGAUAGUCUCAUUUACAAGAGUGAAAUGAGGCAUUAGUCUGCGAGUAGCGGACGAUUAGUGCUAUGUAUAGACCCAAUUGGUUAAUUUGCGGGUACUAUUUUAGAGUAUUUGGCUGCUAUACAUUUCCGCACGACAAGCCACUUCGUUGAGCUAUAAUUUGUGGCCUGGUCGCUUCUGAAAAAAACGAAUCGCUCAGUGGGACCUUACUCGGUAAAAUAAAAAAAAUUGUCUCGUGUAAUAGUUUAGUUUUCAGAGAGAAUUUACACAAAGCGUGAUGAACGACUUGAUCCAUAUCGCUCCUCGCGAGUCACCUGUAACGCAGUGAUUGAUCCCCGGCGCCCUCCACUACAACUGCGCUCAGCUUGGAUCCCAGCUUCUGUACCCAGAGGGGCCCACUUCUAGAUCCACUCAGUCUGAAGUGGGCGGCACCCCACUGACUAAUCGCUCUCUCUAUCUCUCUCUCUAGUGACGUUGAUCUCAGAGUGCCGUGGGUGUUUAAAUGGAUUUAUUGCCUGCAAAAAAAUAUAUCCGUUUGCAAAAGAGACUCUUGAUCUCAGUGAGCUUUGCCGUUCUUCUGAAUACACAACAACAACAACGA